AUCUCUCCCAUGCAUCAUAAAGAGUUUCUAGAUCCAUCUGCACAAAAGAAGAGAUAUCAUUCCUCAAUUU
rfam:Gossypium arboreum cultivar AKA8401 contig_21810_1, whole genome shotgun sequence.